rnacentral:rRNA from 1 species
UACAGAGGUCCCAAGCGUUGUUCGGAUUCACUGGGCGUAAAGGGUGCGUAGGCGGUCGGGCAAGUUUGAUGUGAAAUCUCCAAGCUUAACUUGGAAAUGGCAUUGGAUACUGCUCGGCUAGAGGAUUGGAGGGGAGACUGGAAUGCUCGGUGUAGCAGUGAAAUGCGUAGAUAUCGAGCGGAACACCAGUGGCGAAGGCGAGUCUCUGGACAAUUCCUGACGCUGAGGCACGAAAGCCAGGGGAGCAAACGGG